rnacentral:rRNA from 1 species
UACGAAGGGACCUAGCGUAGUUCGGAAUUACUGGGCUUAAAGAGUUCGUAGGUGGUUGAAAAAGUUGGUGGUGAAAUCCCAGAGUUUAACUCUGGAACUGCCAUCAAAACUUUUCAGCUAGAGUAUGAUAGGGGAAAGCAGAAUUUCUAGUGUAGAGGUGAAAUUCGUAGAUAUUAGAAAGAAUACCAAUUGCGAAGGCAGCUUUCUGGAUCAUUACUGACACUGAGGAACGAAAGCAUGGGUAGCGAAGAGGAUUAGAUACCCUCGUAGUCCAUGCCGUAAACGAUGUGUGUUAGACGUUGGAAAUUUAUUUUCAGUGUCGCAGCGAAAGCGAUAAACACACCGCCUGGGGAGUACGACCGCAAGGUUAAAACUCAAAUGAAUUGACGGGGACCCGCACAAGUAGUGGAGCAUGUGGUUUAAUUCGAAGAUACGCGCAGAACCUUACCAACACUUGACAUGUUCGUCGCGACUCUAAGAGAUUAGAGUUUUCGGUUCGGCCGGACGAAACACAGGUGCUGCAUGGCUGUCGUCAGCUCGUGUCGUGAGAUGUUGGGUUAAGUCCCGCAACGAGCGCAACCCUCACUUUUAGUUGCCAUCAUUAAGUUGGGCACUCUGAAAGAACUGCCAGUGAUAAGCUGGAGGAAGGUGGGGAUGACGUCAAGUCCUCAUGGCCCUUACGUGUUGGGCUACACACGUGCUACAAUGGUAUCUACAACAGGAAGCAAGACUGCGAAGUUAAGCAAAUCCCUAAAAGAUACCUCAGUUCGGAUUGCACUCCGCAACUCGAGUGCAUGAAGCUGGAAUUACUAGUAAUCGUGGAUCAGCGUGCCACGGUGAAUGCGAGCCCGGGUCU